rnacentral:lncRNA from 1 species
AGUCCAAAACCCAUUUGGGCCCACUAUCUAAGCCCAUUAUCCAAAACUCAUUAAAACCAUGAACCAUAAACCCAUGAACCAUAUCUAAGUUCAUGAACCAUAAUCCCAUAUACCCAAUACCAUAAACCUUGUGAACCAAACCCAAACCUUCGACCGAAACGUCGUUAAACUAAACCUAAAUUCGGUAUCGACCGAAACGUCGUUAAACUAAUCCACCAAAUCAACCGACCGAAACGUCGUUAAACUAAACCUAAAUCCGAUAUCGACCGAAAAGUCGUUAAACUAAACUCAAGUUCAAUUUUCACGAACAUCCCACAAUUCCCAAAAUAUUCGAUUAUCUAGCAUAUAAAACUAGAGUCAAAUCACAAUCAUGUUCAAACUUGAUCAAAUUCUAAACCUAUAUUUAGAAUUGAUCAAACCAUAUGAUCAAAUUAAUUUGUUGGAUUUCAAUACAUAUACUUGGAGUUUAAUUUAAAUCAAAUCUGACUAAUCCUAAUACAUAUAAUUAGGAUUUAGUU